rnacentral:rRNA from 1 species
GGAUCAAUGAGUUGGUCGUGCCCUUGGUAUGAACUGGCUUUUAUUGGUUCUCACCUUCUAAUGAACCAUAAUGUCAUUCAUUUGAUGUUUUGGGGAAUUAGGACUGUUACCUUGAAAAAAUUAGAGUGUUUAAAGCAGGCUCACGCUUGAAUACAUUAGCAUGGAAUAAUGAAAUAGGACAUCGCAUUCUAUUUUGUUGGUUUCUAGGAUCGAUGUAAU